AUGUCUAUUUAGUUCGGCUUACUUUUACCUUGAACAAAUUAAAGUGCUCAAAGCAGGCUCAUAUGCUUGAAUAGUUUUGCAUGGAAUAAUGGAAAAAGACCUCGGUCUUAUUUGUUGUGUGGACACGUUCGCAUAAUGAUUUUCUAUUGGUUUGAUACAGAUCAAGAGGUAAUGAUUAAUAGAAGCAGUUGGGGGCAUUAGUAUUACGGCGCGAGAGGUGAAAUUCUUAGACCGUCGUAAGACUAACUAAAGCGAAAGCAUUUGCCAAGGAUGU
rnacentral:rRNA from 11 species